AACGAACGCUGGCGGCAGGCUUAACACAUGCAAGUCGAACGCUCGUAGCAAUACGGGAGUGGCAGACGGGUGAGUAACGCGUGGGAACAUGCCCUUUGGUUCGGAACAACUCCGGGAAACUGGAGCUAAAACCGGAUAAGCCCUACGGGGGAAAGAUUUAUCGCCGAAGGAUUGGCCCGCGUCUGAUUAGCUAGUUGGUGGGGUAAUGGCCCACCAAGGCGACGAUCAGUAGCUGGUCUGAGAGGAUGAUCAGCCACACUGGGACUGAGACACGGCCCAGACUCCUACGGGAGGCAGCAGUGGGGAAUAUUGGACAAUGGGCGCAAGCCUGAUCCAGCCAUGCCGCGUGAGUGAUGAAGGCCUUAGGGUUGUAAAGCUCUUUCGCGCGCGACGAUAAUGACGGUAGCGCGAGAAGAAGCCCCGGCUAACUUCGUGCCAGCCGCCGCCGUAA
rnacentral:rRNA from 1 species